AAACUGGGUCUAAUACCGGAUAGGAGCGCCCACCGCAUGGUGGGUGUUGGAAAGAUUUAUCGGUUUUGGAUGGACUCGCGGCCUAUCAGCUUGUUGGUGAGGUAAUGGCUCACCAAGGCGACGACGGGUAGCCGGCCUGAGAGGGUGACCGGCCACACUGGGACUGAGACACGGCCCAGACUCCUACGGGAGGCAGCAGUGGGGAAUAUUGCACAAUGGGCGCAAGCCUGAUGCAGCGACGCCGCGUGAGGGAUGACGGCCUUCGGGUUGUAAACCUCUUUCAGUAGGGAAGAAGCGAAAGUGACGGUACCUGCAGAAGAAGCACCGGCUAACUACGUGCCAGCAGCCGCGGUAAUACGUAGGGUGCGAGCGUUAUCCGGAAUUAUUGGGCGUAAAGAGCUCGUAGGCGGUUUGUCGCGUCUGUCGUGAAAGUCCGGGGCUUAACCCCGGAUCUGCGGUGGGUACGGGUAGACUAGAGUGCAGUAGGGGAGACUGGAAUUCCUGGUGUAGCGGUGGAAUGCGCAGAUAUCAGGAGGAACACCGAUGGCGAAGGCAGGUCUCUGGGCUGUAACUGACGCUGAGGAGCGAAAGCAUGGGGAGCGAACAGGAUUAGAUACCCUGGUAGUCCAUGCCGUAAACGUUGGGCACUAGGUGUGGGGACCAUUCCACGGUUUCCGCGCCGCAGCUAACGCAUUAAGUGCCCCGCCUGGGGAGUACGGCCGCAAGGCUAAAACUCAAAGGAAUUGACGGGGGCCCGCACAAGCGGCGGAGCAUGCGGAUUAAUUCGAUGCAACGCGAAGAACCUUACCAAGGCUUGACAUGUUCUCGAUCGCCGUAGAGAUACGGUUUCCCCUUUGGGGCGGGUUCACAGGUGGUGCAUGGUUGUCGUCAGCUCGUGUCGUGAGAUGUUGGGUUAAGUCCCGCAACGAGCGCAACCCUCGUUCCAUGUUGCCAGCACGUAGUGGUGGGGACUCAUGGGAGACUGCCGGGGUCAACUCGGAGGAAGGUGAGGACGACGUCAAAUCAUCAUGCCCCUUAUGUCUUGGGCUUCACGCAUGCUACAAUGGCCGGUACAAUGGGUUGCGAUACUGUGAGGUGGAGCUAAUCCCAAAAAGCCGGUCUCAGUUCGGAUUGGGGUCUGCAACUCGACCCCAUGAAGUCGGAGUCGCUAGUAAUCGCAGAUCAGCAA
rnacentral:rRNA from 1 species